GUGUCAGCCGCCGCGGUAAAACGUAGGGGACAAGCGUUAUCCGGAUUUACUGGGCGUAAAGCGCCCGUAGGCGGCCUGUCAAGUUGGAUGUGAAAGCUCCUGGCUUAACUGGGAGAGGUCAUUCAAAACUGACAGGCUAGAGGAUGGAAGAGGAGAGCGGAAUUCCCGGUGUAGUGGUGGAAUGCGUAGAGAUCGGGAGGAACACCAGUGGCGAAAGCGGCUCUCUGGUCCGUACCUGACGCUGAGGGGCGAAAGCGUGGGGAGCGAACGGGAUUAGAAACCCCCGUAGUCC
rnacentral:rRNA from 1 species